ACUCGAACGACCUCCGGGAGUGCGCAC
rnacentral:sRNA from 1 species